GACUCUGUAGCUCAGCGGUUUAGAGCAUGCGAUUGCAGCUGGACGCUAUAAUCGCGGGGUCUCGUGUUCAAAUCACGACAGGGUCU